GCCCUACGGGGGGCAGCAGUGGGGAAUAUUGCACAAUGGGGGAAACCCUGAUGCAGCGACGCCGCGUGAGUGAAGAAGUAUUUCGGUAUGUAAAGCUCUAUCAGCAGGGAAGAAAUAGCGACCUUUGGGUCGCCAGACGGUACCUGACUAAGAAGCCCCGGCUAACUACGUGCCAGCAGCCGCGGUAAUACGUAGGGGGCAAGCGUUAUCCGGAUUUACUGGGUGUAGAGGGAGCGUAGACGGCAGCACAAGUCUGAGGUGAAAUGAAGGGGCUUAACCCCGG
rnacentral:rRNA from 1 species